GACGAACGCUGGCGGCGUGCUUAACACAUGCAAGUCGAACGGAAAGGCCCUGCUUUUGUGGGGUGCUCGAGUGGCGAACGGGUGAGUAACACGUGAGUAACCUGCCCUUGACUUUGGGAUAACUUCAGGAAACUGGGGCUAAUAUCGGAUAGGAGCUCCUGCUGCAUGGUGGGCGUUGGAAAGUUUCGGCGGUUGGGGAUGGACUCGCGGCUUAUCAGCUUGUUGGUGGGGUAGUGGCUUACCAAGGCUUUGACGGGUAGCCGGCCUGAGAGGGUGACCGGCCACAUUGGGACUGAGAUACGGCGCAGACUGCUACGGGAGGCAGCAGUGGGGAAUAUUGCACAAUGGGCGGAAGCCUGAUGCAGCAACGCCGCGUGCGGGAUGACGGCCUUCGGGUUGUAAACCGCUUUCGCCUGUGACGAAGCGUGAGUGACGGUAAUGGGUAAAGAAGCACCGGCUAACUACGUG
rnacentral:rRNA from 1 species